rnacentral:misc_RNA from 1 species
CCAAACUUGGUCAUUUAGAGGAAGUAAAAGUCGUAACAAGGUCUCCGUUGGUGAACCAGCGGAGGGAUCAUUACAGAGUUUUCUAAACUCCCAACCCAUGUGUAUCUACUAUUCUGUUGCCUCGGCGGGCUCUGCUCCCCCUUAGGGAAUAGGUCCAAGCCUGCCGGUGGCCCAACUAAACUCUUGAAUUAUUUGUCAUCUGAGAGUUAUUUUUAAAAUAAGUCAAAACUUUCAACACUGGAUCUCUUGGCUCUUGCAUCGAUGAAGAACGCAGC